rnacentral:rRNA from 1 species
UACGUAGGGGGCGAGCGUUAAUCGGAAUUACUGGGCGUAAAGCGUGCGCAGGCGGCUUUGCAAGACAGACGUGAAAUCCCCGGGCUCAACCUGGGAACUGCUUUCAAAACUGCUGAGCUAGAGUACGGUAGAGGGUGGUGGAAUUUCCUGUGUAGCAGUGAAAUGCGUAGAUAUGCGGAGGAACACCAAUGGCGAAGGCAAUCCCCUGGGCCUGUACUGACGCUCAUGCACGAAAGCGUGGGGAGCAAACAGG